GAGUUUGACUUGGCUCAGAUUGAACGCUGGCGGCAUGCCUUACACAUGCAAGUCGAACGGCAGCACGGGAGCUUGCUCCUGGUGGCGAGUGGCGAACGGGUGAGUAAUGCAUCGGAACGUAUCCUGGAGUGGGGGAUAACGUAGCGAAAGUUACGCUAAUACCGCAUAUUCUGUGAGCAGGAAAGCGGGGGACCUUCGGGCCUCGCGCUCUUGGAGCGGCCGAUGUCGGAUUAGCUAGUUGGUGAGGUAAAGGCUCACCAAGGCGACGAUCCGUAGCAGGUCUGAGAGGAUGAUCUGCCACACUGGAACUGAGACACGGUCCAGACUCCUACGGGAGGCAGCAGUGGGGAAUUUUGGACAAUGGGGGCAACCCUGAUCCAGCCAUGCCGCGUGAGUGAAGAA
rnacentral:rRNA from 1 species